GAUGAACGCUGGCGGCGUGCCUAAUACAUGCAAGUCGAGCGAACAGAUAAGGAGCUUGCUCCUUUGACGUUAGCAGCGGACGGGUGAGUAACACGUGGGUAACCUACCUAUAAGACUGGAAUAACUCCGGGAAACCGGGGCUAAUGCCGGAUAACAUUUAGAACCGCAUGGUUCUAAAGUGAAAGAUGGUUUUGCUAUCACUUAUAGAUGGACCCGCGCCGUAUUAGCUAGUUGGUAAGGUAACGGCUUACCAAGGCAACGAUACGUAGCCGACCUGAGAGGGUGAUCGGCCACACUGGAACUGAGACACGGUCCAGACUCCUACAGGAGGCAGCAGUAGGGAAUCUUCCGCAAUGGGCGAAAGCCUGACGGAGCAACGCCGCGUGAGUGAUGAAGGUCUUCGGAUCGUAAAACCCUGUUAUUAGGGAAGAACAAAUGUGUAAGUAACUGUGCACGUCUUGACGGUACCUAAUCAGAAAGCCACGGCUAACUACGUG
rnacentral:rRNA from 1 species